AGUUUGAUCCUGGCUCAGGAUGAACGUUGGCGGUGCGCCUAAUACAUGCAAGUCGAACGGAGACUGUAGCAAUACUGUCUUAGUGGCGAANGNNUGAGNAACGCGUUGGUGAUCUGCCUCGAAGUGUGGAAUAACGUUCCGAAAGGAGCACUAAUACCGCAUGGUCUUCUGGUUUUUAGAACGCCAGAUGUAAAGGAUUUAUUCGCUUCGAGAGGAGCCUGCGUCCCAUCAGCUAGUUGGUAAGGUAAUGGCUUACCAAGGCGAUGACGGGUAGGGGACCUGAGAGGGUGGCCCCCCACAAUGGAACUGAAACACGGUCCAUACACCUACGGGUGGCAGCAGUAGGGAAUAUUAGUAAUGGGCGAAAGCCUGAACUAGCGACACCGCGUGUGCGAAGAAGGCCUUCGGGUUGUAAAGCACUUUUAGAGAGGAUGAGGAAGGACGGUACUCUCUGAAUAAGUCUCGGCUAACUACGUGCCAGCAGCCGCGGUAACACGUAGGAGGCAAACGUUAUCCGGAUUUACUGGGCGUAAAGCGCGUGUAGGUGGUUCUGUAAGUAGGGCGUGAAAGCUCCCGGCUCAACUGGGAGAGGCCGUUCUAAACUGCAGAGCUAGAGGAUGGUAGAGGGAGGUGGAAUUCCGGGUGUAGCGGUGGAAUGCGCAGAUAUCCGGAGGAACACCAGUGGCGAAGGCGACCUCCUGGGCCACUCCUGACACUCAGACGCGAAAGCUAGGGUAGCAAACGGGAUUAGAGACCCCGGUAGUCCUAGCCCUAAACGAUGUUUACUUGACGUCGGCGGCUUAAUCGCCAUCGGUGUCGUAGCUAANNNGAUAAGUAAACCGCCUGNGGACUACGGCCGCAAGGUUAAAACUCAAAAGGAAUUGACGGGNNCCCNNCACAANNAGCGGAAG
rnacentral:rRNA from 1 species